AUGCAGCUGAAACUAUGCAAAAAAAAAAAAAAGAGUAGGGAAAAAAAACCCCACAAACCCACCAUAAAUUCCCUUGCUAAGGACAUCACUAAGGGUGGAGGGUCCUGCUGUCCUGGUGCUGGGACCACUAGGGUGGAAAAACCUCAUCUGCUAAGAACACCCAACAACUUUGGUACCCAAGGGAGAUUUAUUUAUUCCUCCCCAAUUUAUCUCCCUGCCAGGAAGUUUCCCACAGCCCUGCAGGAGUGGGUGCAGCAGUAUCAGCAGGCACAGGUCUAUCAGGCUGAGCAGAAGCUUUUCCAGGAACUCUCUGGUGCCACACGUGACGUGCCCGGCCGAGGGGCGAUACGUGACAGGCAUUCACCAGCUCCCAGCCAGGAAUCUCUACGCUGGCAGGAUUCAGAGAGGCACAAAGGAGGGAAAAACAAGUUUCAGCCAGAAGAGAGAGGAAAAAAAAAAAAAAGGAUGCUGUUAGCAUUCCCUGUAUUAGAGGGGGUAAAAACAUUUUGCUGUCAACUCUGUUUUAAAGGGUAAGUGCCAACAGCAGCCCAGUUACUAUGCAAAUAAAUCCUGUGCUCAGCCUUUCCCUCUCAGUGCAAAGUUUUGGGGGCUGUUAGCCAGGGGAGCUGGGCCAUGGGGGCUGGCAGUGCCCCUCAUGUCCCCAGGGCUCCCAUCCCCAUCCUGGGGCUGCCACUGCAAAGCUCUGGACCUUGGGGCCAGUGGGGGUGCCCAAGUGACCCCAGACAAGGUGGGACAGCGAGGGGAGCACUGCAGAGGUGUGGGCUGGGUACCCCUGCUCCUUAUCAAAGGCAGAUUCAGGCAGCUGCUGGCAGCAGAGCCCUUGGCUGUGCCUCUGUGACAGGGGACACCCCAGGGAGAGGCAGAAAGGGCAGAAAUCUCACCCAAGACAUUCCCUUUCAUGGCUGGCUAGUGGGGAGGGCCUGGCAGCAGCCCCCUGGGGUACAGGGCUGUCUCUCACUCUCUGCCAGGUGCAAAGGGAGGUGAUGCCAGGCCGUGGUGCCAGACUGUGCCUGCAUCCUGCAGAUGAUGACCAGCACCCCAGCACUGCUAUUUGUGCUGACACUUCCCCGUGACAGCAGAGGGGCUGCACUGCCCCAGCCCACACAAGCCAAACCUCCCCCUGACGGCCCCAGUGUGAUGGUUUCCCGUAAAAAAGAUUUGAAUUUGUCAUGCAAAUGACUGGGCAUGUGGGCACAGCUGCUGAGAGGUGGCCUGGCUGGGUCAGCUGCCAGCAUGGCCACAGGGAUGUGCCCAGGACAAGGUCUGGCCCCCCAGAGAUGCUCCCACCCCUGGAACGUGCCAAGCAGAUGGUGCUGCCAAAACCACCCAGCCCUUGCCACUCCUCCUGCUGCCUGUGGCUCACUGAAGUUUUUAAAACAAGCAUCGUGACCCCCCUGCUUGUCCCUCCCCUGGCUUCUCUCUGGCUGUAGCUUUGUGCUGGGACAACAUAAGGAGGUGGAAGAGGAUGCUCCAUCAAGCAAUGCACUAACAAAAAUUAAAAUUACACUUUUAAGCGAUUUCAAAAUGAUUUGAGCACUUGUCCUGUGCCACCCUGGGAGCCAGGCAGCCACUGCCACUCCCCCACACCCCACUGCUCACACUCUGCACUUUAUCUCUUGUCCUUCUAACCCAGGCACCCUUUGAGCUCUCCCCACUUUCCCAGGCUAGCACAGGACAGGGAAGCGCUCGGCUCCUUCCCGAGGCUCCCAGCCCCACCUGGCAACACAGCCAGGAGCACAGCAGAGCCCAUCCUUCUGCCUGCCUGCAAUUCCACAGCUGGGUUUCUGCACCAGGAAGGAGGCAGCUCGGGCUGUUGUUUUCACGUGGCUGUUUCUCGAAAUGAGCCCAGAGCAAAACUGAGCAGGAUCCAGGAAUGGAACUGGGCAGCGCCGGGUGCUGGGAGCGCCGCCUGCACCCUCGCUUCUGGCAGCUCAGGAAAUCAGACAGCUAAAUGGAAAAUCAUCACUCUUUUCACUUCAGAGCGUGCUGCACACGUUUUUUUUUUUUCAACAACAAAUCGAUUUUCAGCACCUGUGCUGUCCCCAUCGAGCAGGGACGUGCGUCCCCAGCGAAGCCAAAUCUCAGCUCAGCAGUGCCAGGCGCCUCAAUGCUGCGGACGUGCGUCCCCAGCGAAGCCAGAUCCCAGCUCAGCAGUGCCAGGCGCCUCAAUGCUGCUGGGCUGGGGCUCCCCAGCAGCUCACAGCACCUCCACCCAAAAAUCCCCCCCUCCCUUCUCCUCAGAACAACUCCUGACAGGAGAAAGAGGAAUUGCUGAAUAAUCUCCAGCCCCAAUAGCACUUCAAAGGCAGGGCCUGGGCCAGGCUGUGCUCCCGCCAGGGCUGGAUGCUGCACUCAGCUCUCACUCCUCUGGCAGCCCCACAGUGCAUCCAGAAAGCAAUUACUUAAAAAGGAAAUAAAUGUCACCCACAUGGUUGUAAGCAAAACCCCGGGCAGGGUGAACAGAGCCCCACCAGGAUCUGCAUUCUCACGCAACACAAGCAAGGCAGGAGCGUUGUUUCCCUUCCUCGAGAUGGGCUGUUCACUCUGGGGGCUGCUGAUGACAGUAGACAUGCCCACUGUGGGCAUUUAAGCUCCCCAGGGCAGCCACAGUGCCUCUGCUUUGGCAUCCUCUUCCCCCAGGAUGGCUUUAGGCAUCACCACCUGAACCAGCAGCAGAUGCUGAUGCCAGAAACGCAGCCCUGCCUGGCACCAGGCCUGCUGUGACCUUGAUGGACAUGAACCAGAUAACUGGCACGAUCAAACAGAGUAAUUUUAUUUACUUUUACAGAUUGAUUCCUGAAGUUUGUAAUUGUCAAAAGCAAAACACCAAACUUCUAAAGCAAGUUGGUCGGGGGAAGUCGAACGCAGCACCAGAGCAGCAAAUGAGGCUCAAGGGUGAGAUUUUCCCUGCUGCUGGCACCUGCCUGGUUCUGCUGGACCUGAGACACCCUCAGCAAAUCCCCUUAACCAGGACAGGGCUCUGGCAGACCACUCUCUUUCAGAGAAAUUCAAUUUUAGUAAAAUAACCUCCAACUUAUUUUAAGCAAAUACCAGAAGGAAAGCGACGGGCCCCAAAACUCUGGGAUGAGUUUCCCCGUCUGCCCCACUGGAGCUGCACCAGGACGGCAGCACCUCCCACCCUCUGCCCCACACAGAGCGAGCAAGCACUUGGGAGCAGCCCAGAGGUGCCUGGGGACACGCAGAGCAAGGGCAGCACUGGGAUGCUGCAGGAUGGGGACAGCACCUGAUGCCAGCCAGGGUGGCAGCAGGGGCUCUUCCCACAGGACACGCUGCCAGCCCACCCUGGUGGGCUGGGAAAUACUCCCUAAGGCACUGCAGCCAAGCACACAUGGUACCAUACAGCACUGAAUCAUUUUAAAAGUUAAAAUAGUUUAUUGCUGUCUUUGUAGAAAUGCACUUACAUCGCCUGUUCUCUUCCUUUAUUUGGCUGUUGGAUUACAGGCAUAAAAAGGUUACAUUUACCUAUUUGUUCAGUGACAUAACACCUUUCUCUCUGUUGCCCCACUCAUGAUAUUCUCCUAAACCUUGCUGGCCAACAGCCCCAAAUCUCUUUUACAUAAAUACUGUAAAUGUCUCCAUAGGUUGCAGCAUUGUAACAAAAGAUCUACCAAAGUAGACAAAAUGUUCAGUAUUCUUGGUUGGUUUUUUGCAUUUAAAAAUAUACCUAAAUUUGAGAUAAUCUUAACAGAGUAACAAUUACAAUAAGAAAAUAGUACAGUGCGUUGACUAAAGGAAUAUUCUGCUCUCCUUCAAGCCAAUAUUCCCUUUUGCAUGUUGAAGUGAUUCAGCAAUUACUUAAGAACUUUUACCUACAUACAAUAAUUUAGUAAAAUGAGAAUUAAACAAGGCAGAUACUUACUACUAUUCUUCUGUCUGCAAUUCACAGCUCAUGCGAAUAAAAUCGCAAUAAAUAUUAAAAAAUAGUUUUUCUUUCGCUUUUUUUUUUUUCUUUUCUGUAAGGCAUCUCUGAGUAUUACAAAGUUUUUGUACAACCAAAAAAAUAAGAUUGCUUUUUUUCCAUGUUCUCCGAGUACCUCUGUACCUCACCAGUAAAUAAGAGGAUUGUAGGCUGGAUGAGGAAGGAAGGAGGGGGGGCAGAAAAUCUGAAUGAAAAAUCUACACCAUGUCCUCCUGAGGUGAUCUCAAGCACAAAGAGACACCUCGGGCUGUAACAGAAGCAGACCAACAAUCUGUCGUUUCCCUGUGAAACGUUUUCAGCCGCUUUCAGAACGUCUUCAAGACGGUAGAAGAAAAAACAAAAAACAAAAAAAAAAAAAAGAAAAAAAAAAAAAAUGGGGGAGGAAAAAAAAAAAAACCCAAAAAAACUUACCAGAAGUCCACUUCCAUAAGCACAACCAGGAUCUGAGCCCGCCCUAUAAACAGCUCAGGUAUGGAUACGCGCCUACGCGACGGGGAGGAAGGGACGGGGCGACGCUGUUGUUGUCGUUUAGUUUUGUGGUUUUUUCCGCCCGCUGCGCGUCCCCGCCGCGGCUCCGCCGUCCCGGGGGGGGGGGGGGGGGGGGGGGGGGGGGGGGGGGGGGGGGGGGGGGGGGGGGGGGGGGGGGGGGGGGGGGGGG
ensembl:lncRNA